rnacentral:rRNA from 1 species
UACGGAGGGUGCAAACGUUGCUCGGAAUCACUGGGCGUAAAGCGCACGUAGGCGGAUUGCUAAGUCAGGGGUGAAAUCCUGGAGCUCAACUCCAGAACUGCCUUUGAUACUGGCGACCUUGAGUCCGGGAGAGGUGAGUGGAACUGCGAGUGUAGAGGUGAAAUUCGUAGAUAUUCGCAAGAACACCAGUGGCGAAGGCGGCUCACUGGCCCGGUACUGACGCUGAGGUGCGAAAGCGUGGGGAGCAAACAGG